rnacentral:rRNA from 1 species
GAGGUGCUUGCACCUUAUCUUAGCGGCGGACGGGUGAGUAAUGCUUAGGAAUCUGCCUAUUAGUGGGGGACAACAUUCCGAAAGGAAUGCUAAUACCGCAUACGUCCUACGGGAGAAAGCAGGGGAUCUUCGGACCUUGCGCUAAUAGAUGAGCCUAAGUCGGAUUAGCUAGUUGGUGGGGUAAAGGCCUACCAAGGCGACGAUCUGUAGCGGGUCUGAGAGGAUGAUCCGCCACACUGGGACUGAGACACGGCCCAGACUCCUACGGGAGGCAGCAGUGGGGAAUAUUGGACAAUGGGGGGAACCCUGAUCCAGCCAUGCCGCGUGUGUGAAGAAGGCCUUAUGGUUGUAAAGCACUUUAAGCGAGGAGGAGGCUACUGAGACUAAUACUCUUGGAUAGUGGACGUUACUCGCAGAAUAAGCACCGGCUAACUCUGUGCCAGCAGCCGCGGUAAUACAGAGGGUGCGAGCGUUAAUCGGAUUUACUGGGCGUAAAGCGUGCGUAGGCGGCUUUUUAAGUCGGAUGUGAAAUCCCCGAGCUUAACUUGGGAAUUGCAUUCGAUACUGGGAAGCUAGAGUAUGGGAGAGGAUGGUAGAAUUCCAGGUGUAGCGGUGAAAUGCGUAGAGAUCUGGAGGAAUACCGAUGGCGAAGGCAGCCAUCUGGCCUAAUACUGACGCUGA